rnacentral:rRNA from 1 species
AUUGAACGCUGGCGGCGGGCCUAACACAUGCAAGUCGAGCGGAUGAAGGGAGCUUGCUCCUGGAUUCAGCGGCGGACGGGUGAGUAAUGCCUAGGAAUCUGCCUGGUAGUGGGGGAUAACGUCCGGAAACGGGCGCUAAUACCGCAUACGUCCUGAGGGAGAAAGUGGGGGAUCUUCGGACCUCACGCUAUCAGAUGAGCCUAGGUCGGAUUAGCUAGUUGGUGGGGUAAAGGCCUACCAAGGCGACGAUCCGUAACUGGUCUGAGAGGAUGAUCAGUCACACUGGAACUGAGACACGGUCCAGACUCCUACGGGAGGCAGCAGUGGGGAAUAUUGGACAAUGGGCGAAAGCCUGAUCCAGCUAUGCCGCGUGUGUGAAGAAGGUCUUCGGAUUGUAAAGCACUUUAAGUUGGGAGGAAGGGCAGUAAGUUAAUACCUUGCUGUUUUGACGUUACCAACAGAAAAAGCACCGGCUAACUUCGUG